rnacentral:tRNA from 2 species
GGUUCCUUAGCUCAGUUGGUUAGAGUGCUGCCUUGACAUGGCAGAGGUCGUUGGUUCGAUUCCAACAGGAACCACCA